AACCUGGUUGAUCCUGCCAGUAGUCAUACGCUUGUCUCAAAGAUUAAGCCAUGCAUGUGUAAGUGCACACUUUAACACAGUGAAACCGCGAAUGGCUCAUUAAAUCAGUUUUGGUUCGCUAGAGCAAAGUAUUUCAUGUGGAUAACUUUUGGGAAUUCUAGAGCUAAUACGUGCAAUCUAAGCUCCAACUCACGUAGGAGCGCAUUUAUUAGACCAAAACCAGCCAGGUUCUAUCUGUAUUUUGGUGACUCUGGAUAACUCUCGCUAAUCGCAGUGGCCCUGAGCCGGCGAUGCAUCUYUCAAAUGUCUGACCUAUCAACUUUCGAUGGUAAGUGCAAUGCUUACCACGGUUGUAACGGGUGACGGGGAAUCAGGGUUCGAUUCCGGAGAGGGAGCCUGAGAAACGGCUGCCACUCCUACGGGAGGCAGCAGGCGCGCAAAUUACCCACUCCCGGCACGGGGAGGUAGUGACGAAAAAUAACGGCACCGGGCAUUAUGCCUUGGUGAUCGCAAUGAGAACAAUGUAAAUACCUUAACGAGUAUCAAAUAGAGGGCAAGUCUGGUGCCAGCAGCCGCGGUAAUUCCAGCUCCAAUAGCGUAUAUUAAAGUUGUUGCGGUUAAAAAGCUCGUAGUUGGAUCUCAGGCAAGUUGGACCUCCGUCGAGAAGACGGCAGCGUUCUCAAACGAGCUUAGUAGUCGCGUCCGCCUUUCCGGUACCUUUAAACGGGUGUCUUAGGCGGCCGGCAUGUUUACUUUGAAGAAAUUAAAGUGCUCAAAGCAAACGAUUGUUCGAAUGGUGUUGCAUGGAAUAAUGGAAUAGGACUUCGGUCCAUUUUGUUGGUUUCAAAACCGAAGUAAUGAUUAAAACCCACGGACGGGGACGUUCGUAUUGCGCCGUUAGAGGUGAAAUUCUUGGAUCGGCGCAAGACGUACUGAUGCGAAAGCGMUCGUCAUGAACGKUUUCAUUAAUCAAGAACGAAAGUCAGAGGUUCGAAGGCGAUCAGAUACCGCCCUAGUUCUGACCAUAAACAAUGCCAACUGGCGAUCUGUCGUGAGAUUUUACAUCUCGACAGGCAGCCUCCGGGAAACCUGAAGUUUUCGGGUUCCCGGGAAAGUAUGGUNGCAANACUGAAACUNAAAGGAAUUGACGGAAGGGCACCACCAGGAGUGGAGCCUGCGGCUUAAUUUGACUCAACACGGGGAAGCUUACCCGGNCCGGACACCGCUAGGAUUGACAGACCGAUAGCUCUUUCUUGAUUCGGUGUAUGGUGGUGCAUUGCCGUUCUUAGUCGGUGGAGCGAUUUGUCUGGUUAAUUCCGAUAACGGACGAGACUCCAACCUGCUAAAUAGUUAGCUUGUCCUUUCGAGGCAAGCGCUUAACUUCUUAGAGGGAGAAGUGGAAAUCACACAAAGCUACCAUGAAACGGAACAAUAACAGGUCUGUGAUGCCCUUAGAUGUCCGGGGCCGCACGCGCGCUACAAUGAGCAAGUCAACGUGUUCAUCUGGUCUGAAAAGACUGGUUAAUCCGUUGAAUUUUGCUCGUACUUGGAAUUGGGCUUUGUAAUUAUCGCCCAUGAACGAGGAAUUCCUAGUAUGCGCGAGUCAUCAGCUCGCGUAGACUACGUCCCUGCCCUUAGUACACACCGCCCGUCGCUACUACCGAUUGAAUGUCUUAGUGAGGACCUCGAAUCUGGGGCCAGCAAACAUCUCACGAUGUCGGCUUGGCUUCGGAGAAGAAGUUCAAACUUGGUCAUUUAGAGGAAGUAAAAGUCGUAACAAGGUUUCU
rnacentral:rRNA from 1 species